rnacentral:rRNA from 1 species
UACGUAGGGUGCAAGCGUUAAUCGGAAUUACUGGGCGUAAAGCGUGCGCAGGCGGUUUGCUAAGACCGAUGUGAAAUCCCCGGGCUUAACCUGGGAACUGCAUUGGUGACUGGCAGGCUAGAAUAUGGCAGAGGGGGGUAGAAUUCCACGUGUAGCAGUGAAAUGCGUAGAGAUGUGGAGGAAUACCGAUGGCGAAGGCAGCCCCCUGGGCCAAUACUGACGCUCAUGCACGAAAGCGUGGGGAGCAAACAGG